AACAAACGCUGGCGGCGUGCCUAAUACAUGCAAGUCGAACGGGGAAAGCUUUCGGGCGAGUACUAGUGGCGCACGGGUGAGGAACACGUGGAUAAUCUGCCUUGGAGAGGGGGAUAACUAGUCGAAAGAUUAGCUAAUACCGCAUAAGACCACAGGAACUGAGGUUCUAGGGGUCAAAGGUUUUUCGCUCCAAGAUGAGUCCGCGUAAGAUUAGCUAGUUGGUGAGGUAAUGGCUCACCAAGGCGACGAUCUUUAACUGGUCUGAGAGGAUGAUCAGUCACACUGGAACUGAGACAUGGGCCAGACUCCUAAGGGAGGCAGCAGUAGGGAAUAUUGCACAAUGGAGGAAACUCUGAUGCGGCGACGCCGCGUGAGUGAUGAAGGCCUUCGGGUCGUAAAGCUCUGUCGCAGGGGAAUAAAAAAAUGAAGGUACCCUGCAAGAAAGGAUCGGCUAACUUCGUGCCAGCCGCCGCAGUAA
rnacentral:rRNA from 1 species